CAACUAUUAAUAACAAAUACGUAUAAUUUUCGCAUGAAGAUUAUAUAAAAGUAGCGUUUGCUACACUAAGAGAGCGGGGUGCGUAACAUUAGUUAGUUGGUGAGGUAAUGGCUCACCAAGACGAUGAUGUUUAGCGGGGUUGAGAGACUGAACCGCCACACUGGGACUGAGAUACGGCCCAGACUCCUACGGGAGGCAGCAGUAGGGAAUAUUCCACAAUGAACGAAAGUUUGAUGGAGCGACAC
rnacentral:rRNA from 1 species